CCUCACGGCCUUGACCAUCACCGCGCGCCCAGCUUUCACCUGCUGCUCUCCUGGUGCCACUGCCUUGUUCUUUGGAACUAGGUCCUUGCCCACUUCUCCUGCCCUCGCUCCACGCGGAAGGAUUGUUAACCGCCCCACCCCACCCCCCGACAGGUGCUUUUGGCUGUUAAACACUGAUUCUAGGAAGCCCUCUCCCUCUUGGACAGCUGCCACUUGUUUUCAGAGGGUGGGGAGAAUGUUAGCACAGUUCUUAUUAACUAGGAUUGUUACAUCCGAGCACUUAGAGCGUGGCAGGUUAAACGGUAUGAAACUGCUGUUUUUCUAGGUCGGGAGGGGCUCCAGAUGGCAAUGGGUAAGGAGAUAGCAGACUUCUGUCAUCCCUCAUUCCCUGUUCAAACUGUCUCUUUUCCCUCUUUUAACUCCAUUCUACAUUGAACAAAGAAAGGCAAACACCUAAGUGCAGCGAUCGUGCCUUGCUCGUCCCUCUGUGAUUUGUACAAGCCCGCGUUCUCAGCCGCCUCCUCUCCGGCUGUCUGGACUUGUACUCACAGUGUCCACGCCCAGUUAGCCCUCCCCAGGCUCACUGUUGGAGCCCGGGAGCUCAGGCUCUGGGGUGUAUUUGAUUCUUUCAUGUGAAGACCCAGAUCCCGUCACAAAGGUUUCCUCUUCCUUGGCCCCGCCCACACCGUGGUCUUCCUGUCUCCCACUCUGUGUCUGUGUGUGUGAUGGGACGGACUGGGGUCCUGACAAUGGGCGUGCUUCCUUGGCCUGACCCUGUAUGCAGCUUGACUGGGUGCUGGUUGGUCAGACAUUCUCAUUGGCCAGUGUUGCUCCCCACGUGGCCUCUCGAUGUAAUCACUUUCCCUCUUCAUAUGCGUAGGUGACUUAUUAGUUGCUCGUUUAACUUGAUAGUGAUUUCACCGAGCUACACUCCUUCCAUUCCAUCAUUGCUGGCACCUCUUGAAAAAAGGAAACCACCACCACCCAACAGCAAGAGCAGUAGCUGCGAACAGGAACUCCAGGAUGGGAAGGUUUCUAUUGUUAUACCUAAAAUGUAAAUAUCUGGUUCCUAGAAUUAGUGGUAGAGUUUGUAGUUGAAUCAUUUACAUAAAUGCAAACAGACGGUGAACUUGAAAGGCCGCAGAGAUUUGGGUCAAGGUUGUGCCUAGUUUUAGUUGGCCAGGUAAAUUUCUUCCUUUUGAUGAGUGGCACUACCAGACUGGUAGCAAAGAGGAUGUCGCUUCGUGAAAGUUCUGUUUCUUAGUGAACUGAUCUGUCGGUCACAGCAUGGAGCUGUCGACUCACCAGAGGUGGCAAAGCUUCUCUCGAGCCUGUCUUCCAAUGUAUGAGAGAAUGAUCUUGGCCAGUCUGGGAAAAAUCCCGAAGGCAUCCUGCCUCUUACUGGGCAAAGAUGCAGGGCCAGAGAGCUGAACCCCAACCUGUUAUCCUUGUAUCAAAGCCGAACGGGGGCCCACCUACCAUCAGCUCUGAAUGGUGACUGCUUUUGUUCCCUUACGGAAUCACGUGCCCAGGUCAGAAGCUGUAGUUACCUAGUACUUCUGUUAUGUAACCGAGUAGAAUGCAGGAGGAAAAAUAUUUAGGGUACCUCUAACCACUAUUUUUGUGCAAAUAGUCUACAAGUGGAAAACGGUAGAAGUUUUCUACGAUGUCUGGGUUUAGUGUGUACAUGAUGUAAUAUACCUGUGUCCUUUUCAAUGAAAGCAAAACAACCGCCUCUCCUAAUAGCUGGGAAGAGGAAACCAGGUUGUUCUGAUGCAUCAUCUGCCUGGAAAGGCUGAAUCACAGCUCUUAGUACCAGUGGAUUUGGCUGUUCUCACUUUGCAGUCAGUGUCUCUCUAUGACUCUGAAGUCUUCCCCACAGAUAACCGUUUCAGAAAUACAGGUAUUUCUCUACAAGUAUUUCUCUGGUGUAUUUUCUUCUGUUUCUUUCAUAGAAUGUCUGGAGAGGGAGAAAAAAAAAAAUGUUCCUUGCACAUGUUGGUUUUUGAAAUCCCCCCCCCCCUUAACCAGAAGCAUUUUGGGUCAUACACGUUAGGUAGGACAUCUUCUGGGGGAGCUUAAUCUUGUGGGAACACACUGGUUUUCACAGAUGCACCACAUGGCUGUCUGAAGACUCAAAACUUUUUUUGUCCUUCCCUUCUCUUUGUUACGCUCGGAAACCCCCACAGUGUGUCGAGUCUUUGCAAAGAAACCUUUAGAUGUGUUUCAUAGGUAUAUGAAUAAGUAUCUGUGUAAAACAGUGAGUGUGCAGUGUGUAAAUACUUUAAAUUAUUAUGGUAGAAAAAUAAAGUUACAUACCCUGCUGUGGAAUGUUUGGUCUGUGACUGUAGUGCCACCUGCUGGAAGAGUGGAGAAAUAGCAGAAGAAAGGGAGUCGGGGGGUGUGUGUGCAAAAUCCUUCAUGGUUACUGACAAUGUUGUUCAACCUGUCCACAAACUCACUUAUUUUCUGAACUAUAUCACUACCAUAGUUUUUCCUUUUUUAAUUUCUAAGCAAUUGGAAAUAAGUCAGUAUCUGUGAGA
ensembl:lncRNA